rnacentral:rRNA from 1 species
AUAAUGACUCUCGGCAACGGAU